GACGAACGCUGGCGGCGUGCCUAAUACAUGCAAGUCGAGCGCUGAAGGUUGGUGCUUGUACCUACUGGAUGAGCAGCGAACGGGUGAGUAACGCGUGGGUAAUCUGCCUUUGAGCGGGGGACAACAUUUGGAAACGAAUGCUAAUACCGCAUAAAAACUUUAAACACAAGGUUUAAGUUUGAAAGAUGCAAUUGCAUUACUCAAUGAUUAUCCCGCGUUGUAUUAGCUAGUUGGUAAGGUAAAGGCCUACCAAGGCGAUGAUACAUAACCGACCUGAGAGGGGGAUCGCCCACACGGGAACUGAGCCACGGCCAAGCCCCUUCGGGGGGGCACCGGAGGGAAUCUUUGGGCAAGGAGGAAAGUCCGAACGAGGCAAGGCGGGGGAAGGGAUAAGGGUCUCGGAUCGGAAAACUCUGGCGGUAGGGAAGAACGUUAGUGGGAGUGGAAAGCUCAUGACGUGACGGUAACUAACCAGAAAGGCACGGCUAACUACGUG
rnacentral:rRNA from 1 species